ensembl:lncRNA
GUUUCUAUGUAAUUAGUCACCACUCAUCAGCUGGCCUCCACCAGUUGGCUAUAAGAAGCUAGUUGUCUGUCCUUAGUGAAGUGGCACAAGCCAUGGAAAGGAGCAUUUUUUUUUCUUUGCAGCGGGUGGGGGAAAUGAGAAUGGUCUGUUAAUGUGAUCAGCUGACAGAUGGUAACUCACAGGGGAUAAUUAACUGUUUGUUAGUACAGGAUGUUGAGGAUGCAGCAGUGCUGUCAGCAAAGAUGUCAGUGCAAGAAGAGGAUUCGGUGUGUGAUAUGGCUCAGAGAGGACCGGAGCACGAGCUGACUGCAAGGUCGGGGCUGUGCCCCUCUGCCUGCACGGUGCCUCUGUGCUGAUCACCCUGCUUGGCUGAAGGAGAUGCAAAGGGGGAGAAGCAGAGGGUUCUGUCUGUCUGUCAGCUGCCUUCAGAAGGGUCCUGCUGGCUCCUUGCCUCUGCUCGGAUCGUGGAGCUGUUGCUCUGAGCUGCAGAGAUGCUGUACCGAAGCUCUGACAUGCUGAGCCCUGUCCAAUUCCUCCAAAGCACGCUGUUCCAUGUACCUUUGAGAUGCCAGCUCCUCCAGGGUGAGGUGGGCUGUGCAGCAGAGCUGUCCCCGCUCACACUGUAAUCCUCAGCCCUCAGCUGUCAGCGUCUCGGAUGAGUUCUUGGAGGGUAUCCAGACAAACACAGGAGAGAUUUCAACUGCUGCGAUCCCCUGUCCUAUUUUAUCUCAUUUCUGACAGCCCAUGUCUGCUGAGGCUGGGAAGUGGUGAGGAGACGAGAGCAGCUUCCUGCAUUUGUGGAUGGAGAAGCACUCCUUCCUCUGACAGCCUGCUUGCUUUGCCUGUUUCCUGCAGUACUGAUGCACUGUCUCUUGCCUUCUGGACCAGCUGCAUCUUCAGGACAACGUCCCAGAUGGCUCUUUUAGGGAAAGAAAUCAGAGACUGAUUGGUGGCCAAAAAAAGUCUCUCAUCCAGUAUCAAAGCUUUAGCUGCACCUUAUGCUUCCCAAGGACGGCUUGGAAAGGGCACAGUGGAGCUGCUGCUGAUCCUCUUGCACCGGGCUCAGGGGGUAUCUGGAGAAACCCUGUGUUUCCAGAUAAGGACGUGCUGGAUUUACAGUUGCCUACCACUGUUAAUGCAUCCUCGUCUGCGUGGUCGUGUGAAGGUAGGAUCUGCAGCAACCACAUCACCUGCUGUUCUCCUUUCCAUCCUCCACUCUUGGUUUCCAUGCUGCUCCAGGAUGUUCUUCCCACCCUGCAUUUUUGCAGUCAUUUAACUAAGCCUUUUUCAUCUAGAGGGGGAAAAUGGAGGCAGCUCUGCAGUUUACCAGGCAUCCCGCUGGGGAGCAGAGCCUUACGAGAGCAGCAUGGCAGUGGCUCUGGAUGGCAGAUGGGUUUGGGGUUGGGAUUGGAGAACAGCAUCUCCUGGCCACCCUUCCUGCAAGGGGAAUGCAGAGCUGCUCACGUCCAGCAGGACACGAGAAAAGGACAAGCUGUGUGCACAACGUGGUGGAGAUCAGUGGGUGGUUUUACCCAAAGAGGGCAGUGCCGUGCCACGAUCCUCCCCACUUCGUCUCUGUAAGGCGUGGAGGGCUCUGCAGAGCCGGGUGGAAACAGCCAACAUCGAGGAUUUCUUGAGGGGAAGAUCACAACGUGAUGAGGCAGUUGUUUUUCGGAGGUGUAGCAAUUACUUCAAAGCAAAACAAAACCAAAGCAGAAAGAACGACAGCAGAAAACCUUGCACAUAUCUGUCACGCGAAUGCCUCUUCUGUCUCCUGACAAACUGCUUCUCUCACCAGCUUAGCCAAAGGUACACGGCCGUAGCACUGCCCGACUUAAAGCACUGCUCCUGCCUGUAUUCCUGCCCUCACUCACUGCAAGGACAGCUGUGAGCUCUCCUCCCUUCUGGACGGCAUCCCCCUUAGCUCCCCCGGGGCUGUUGGUCCCCAUUUCUGUCUCUAGCAUCCUUCCCAUCUCCCCACCCCAGGACUGCUUCUGCAGGGAGAUGCUGCUGUUGGAAAUUAGCCUUACCGUGGGACAAAGUGGGGGCUGGGUGGCUAUUUACCAGUUGGCGUGCUGCUGUCAGAAGUGGGGACUGGGCCCCUUCCUCUAUAGGCAGGAGGAGGGGUCCCACAGGUGCUGCUGGGUGCUGUGAGUUGCAUUCAUGCUGUACGCUUGCCCUUUUGGGGUAUGUGGGACCAGGGAGGCUUUGCUGUCUGUGGGAGGAAAGACUUCAAAAUGAGCCAACGUUGCCAUUGCCAGAGAAACAGCUCUUGCCAUGCUGGGCAAUUGGCUGAAAGAGGUGAAUAGGGCUUUCCCGUAGGGGUUCAAAGCUCUAGCUCUGGUUAGAUAUAUUCACGUGGGCUCUUUCCCUUUCGAAGAAGGCAGAUGAAAAGGGCUCUGACUCCUUUAAAUAGGUCUGCACUUCCUCCACCAGCCAGGAGCUCUGUUAGGACUGCACUGCUCCUUUCCACCCAGCAAGGACAGCUGCCAGCUUAACUCUUAGCCCUCACGUUAGCAGCAGAGGGGCUGAAAUGAAGAGCGUUUUCCCUCGGCAGCAGUCAAGAGGAAGAUGUUUGCUGCUGCUUGCUGCUUUGUAUUUAUUCUGCUAGCUGAAGCAUAGAAGCACGCGUGGGUACGAGGUACAGCUGGUGCUUGGAAGGCUCUGGGUUGCUGGAGGGGCACGGAGGGUCCUGGGAGCAUCGCCUCUGAGCAGGCUCCAGCUGGCUCUGUGCAUGGUGCCUGCGUGUCGGUGCUUACCCCACACCUCCUGCUGCCUUCCGUGGCUUUCGGGCACUGAUGUGAGCAAGUGCUGCUGCCAGCUCGGAGCUGCUGCUCUGGCUUAACGUGGGAAGGCAGGAGCAUCUGUCCCCCACUGCUUUCCUAUUAGCGGGCUGCUAUAAGGCAAAAAGCCAUCUGCCUGCAGAGGUUGGGGUUGGUGGUAUUUGCUAACCCAGGAAAACGCUGCUCCAGGAAGGCAGUCAGGCAUGAAGGAUGAGAGAUCCUCUUUCUCGGAGUUCACUGAAAUAGGACUUUCCUGCAGGUUGCUUUCCCGUUGACCAGAGGGAGACCCGUGGCUCAUCUGUGCACCCUUCUUAGAGCUGCUGAAGAGACUCAGAAUGGGGUGAUGGCCCCAUGCUCCUUCCUGGGGUCUCCUCUUCCUCAAGGUUAGUGUUACCAGCUGGGGCCUUGUUUUCCCAGGCAGCCUCUAGUGCCAGGUUCAUGCUGAUCUUGCUAAGCACUUUUACUCCUGAGGACAUCUGCGCAAUACAGCUGGUUCAGAAAGGUUUCCCCAAAGCACAGUCAUUUAUUGUGAGCCAGCAUUUGCAGAGUAAUCCCAUACAAGUCAUUAGCUGGGUCGCUGGAGCUUGCCCUGGGGUCUGUCCAGGGAAUCCCAGAGCUGCCUGGGGCUGAGCGGUACCUGCAGCUCCCAGACCUGCUCAGCUCUGUGCUGAGAGCCUCACCUGGCAGCUUUGGUGUGCUUCUUCCCAUGAUUUUAUCUAAUUUCUGCUGUCUCUCCUUUGUCAGAGCCAGCGCAGGCCAGCUAAUGUCCAGGUGCAAAGGGUGCACCGCCCUCUGCCAUGCCAUCUACCUGGUGAUAUCAAGGCCAAGAGCGUCACGUUCUGGAUGUUCAUAAAUUACAAGGGAAACAGCUUUCUUCCUUCACCCCUUGAACUUUUAUUCAUUCCUCCAUUGUGUUAAUGAAUACGUGGUCUAAGCUGUAUGUCAGUCCCUGUUCUUGCGUGCUGUAGAUGAGGCUGGCUUGUCAGCGCUUGGCCUCCUUUUGCCAUCAGCUCGAGCGGAGCUGUUACACGUUAGUUCUCCAGCAGCAUUUUGAUUACCUCUCAUAACACAACGCUGUCAAUGCAGACUGACCAAUACAGCAAUUCAAUGAGCGUGUUGCUCUUGACAAGCCUUAUUUGCCCUGGAUAAGUCAGGUGGAAUAUCUUCAGCUGCAGGUAAUAGGCAGUAACAUCCUCUCUGUGUGUUAGCUGAAGGUUUCCUGGUCUCUGUUUCACCCGAAGGGGCUUCCUUGUCUCCACUGCAGCAGGAUGCAGAGCCUGAACUAACUCUGAGCAAGGAACUGUGGAGUCCAGAAACAGCAGCUCUGCUUUAAGUGAGGCUCUUGCCCUGGGUAAUCAUCCCAUCCUGAGAAGCACAACGUACUAUCUCAGGCUUCUUCCUAAGGUGUGUUGACCAACGUGCAUUUGAUGUCUUGGAGCUGCCCUGGCAGUGUGUGGGCCAUCAUCCUCAGUGGGGAACCAGAGACAGCAAUCACUGCUAAGUGCCAGAUGAUAGCAUGUUUUGCCGGCUGCUUUGAUGCAUUAUGUUUUCCACCAUCUGUAUUUGCACUGCGUUGGAGGCUUGCUUGCCCUGCAAGGGCUGGGCUGCGAUCCCUCCAGCACUGUGAGCAGCCGGGUGUGGUGUUUAGAGGGUGGAGAGGAGACGUCAAGCUUUCUUGCUUUGCUAUGCCCAUGCCUUGUCUCCCCACACUUGCUCACUUCUCCAAAUAUUGCUGCUCUCAAUGAACUCUUAGCAGCUGUCAGUCCCCGUUCCUGAAGCGAUGUGCAGUUCUGAGCUCCCUACAGGUUGGGAUGGUCCUUGUGCUGGCUGCUCCCUGCUCCAAUCCUUGGCCUGUUGUGCUUUUUUAGCCUGCAAAGCCUCCUUCCCAAAUGCUUCUGAAGAAGCCAAAGCAGGGUCUGCUCUGGCAGAAAGAAGCCUGCAGACCUGGAUCCUCUCCCCUCAGCCACUGCAGCCCUGGAUGGUGUUUAUUGGCAGGCAUCGCUCCCAGUGCUCCUGCUCACCUCGUGCUCUCCCAGGAGGAACAAGCUUCACAUGAUGGCUUUGGAAAUAAGUCAGGGCAUGUGUCUUGGGCAGAACGAAAGGAGCUGGAAACCUGAGCUUUGUUUGCAUGCACGUUGUUCCUGGCUUUGGCAGGGAUGAGCCCUGACUCCGUGCAGCUGCCGUGACUGGUUUACUGGGCACAGCAUGAGGUCCCUCCUCCUUGAAGGACAUUCACUGUAUUUUGAAGCCACGACCGCCGGCAGAGCGACGGAUCCAAGACGGGCUCCACACUGCUUUCUCUCUCAAUCCAGCACGCUGCCUCCCGCACUGCUUUCCCCUGGAGCAUCCUUGAGCCUGGCCAGAAGAAGUCAGAGCUCCUUUCCUCUCUGCUGCAGCCACCUGCCCUGACAAGUGGCCUGUCCUCGGGGAAGCGGCAUCGUUUCCUAUCGUUAGUGAUGCGGGGCACGGGAAGCUGUGUCCACUCAGCUUUGUCUCUUGCUGGGUGCACACUGGCCGAGGCCGGUGGCAGCUCAUGCAUCCCCUGGAGCUGCCUUGAAACCCAGUGAUGGGUAAAGAAACCCCAUCCAGCUGCUCUUCUCUGUGCCUGCGAGUGCCUCAGCAUGGUGAAUAGCAACGGAAGAGCUCAGGAGAAACAAGCAUGAGUGGUAGAAAUAAGCAGCAUCAAGAGAUCCAGCAAGCGAAGGAUGAAAAAUCAGAGUAACGGCCAAGGAGACGACAUCCACUUGACUUCUCUUGCCCGUGGUGUGAGCAAUUAAUCCAGCUAAGGCAUGGCAGUGGAAUGAGGCCAGGAGCAGCAGGAGGACGGCGCUGCACCGGCAGCAGCAAGCGGGACCGGACAUCUUCCUCUGCCACGCUGCCCCGACCUUUGUGGUGAGGUUGUGCAUGGAGAAAUGUGCUGAACCACCCCGUUGCCAUGGAAACCAAGGCCGAGAGGGGACCAGCCUGCUCCUGCUAAUUGCUGUGGCUUUGUGACCCCAUCCGUCCAUCCUGCUGCCUCCCGUGAGCCUGUCCGAAUGCACAGCGCUGGCCCCAUCCUGCAUCAUCCUGCCCUUUGGCUCCCAGCCCCAAUGCUGUGAGCACGAUCUGGGGUUCCUCUUUCUCUCCUUUGUGUUGUCACAACCUGCACAAGAUCAGUUAAAAUCCGUGGCUUGAGCAUCCCUGCAGCCCAUCACCCCGUGCAUGCACAUCUGCCUGCAUGCUUGUUGCAGGAGCACGGUGGCGGUGCAGUGAUGCACCUCCCUUGCCCUGCAUCCCGGGCUGCCCUGCCUUUAUCUCGUCCAAUUAAAUAACUGCAGAUAGUGGGCUUAAUAAGGCCCUGCUAUGAAAGAUUACUGACGAUUUCUUUCCCAACGUGCGGUGAAUUAGGAGGCAGUGAGCAGGGAAAGGACUGCUGCUAAUUACAGUCCCCCAUGUCCCCUCUGCUGCCACCACUGCUGCUGGGCCCCUCGCUGCUCCCUGCACCUGAUUGCAUUUUGCUGCUGGUUGUGGCCAAUUUGCAGCUCUCAGCUGCUGCUGCUUCUCCCUUCCCCCCACACCCCCUGCUCCUCUUCGAGUUUAUUAAUGAAAACCUUAUCUGUCGGUGCAGAUAAUGCCAGAAAUAAUUAGUGCACACGGAGGGCUGGCAGGCUGCUCUCUGCUCCCACCACCCACACCCUCUCCUCUCACUGUUUACAGUUUCCUGUGCUGCUUGGGGCUGCUUUUUGGGUUUUUAAGCCUCCUUGCUCUGUACAGAUUUAUUUGCUUCUCUCUCUCUCUCCAAGUUUUCCUUGCUCAGAAAGAGACAGACAGACCUGAGGCACAGAUGCAUCCUAAAGAGCUUGACCUUAAGCACCUGGGCUGCAGGUGCCCUGACCUUAUGGCUGCUGGAAAUGGGGAGCUGCCCCCCAAUGCCCAAGAGCAGGGAUUGCAUUUGCUCCUGGCAUGCUCUGGUCAGGUCAUGGCCCUGCUCCUGCUGCGCCAGCGCCGUCCUCGCUUUGCUCGUGCUCCCUUUCAUUACACUUAGCAUCAUUGUCUCUUGGCUUAAAUCUUUCAGCCUGAUAAAGGACGACAGCGCUGCUCGAGUGCCUGGGAUGGCAUAAAUAAUUCCAGUGCUGAGAGAGAUUUACAGCUAUAUAAAUGUCAGGAGUGAGCCCAGUUUGUAUUAAUGGCCUUAUUAGUUACAUUGCUGUAAAAUACAGAUCCUCCAAUUGUUAAGCGGCCGUGGUUUUGGUCCACAGCAUUAAUCCAAUAAAUUUGGGCUUCUCAAUACGAAUCUUCGUCUCUGAACCCCACUGGAAAAUCCUUCAUGGUAUGUCAGAGAGCUUUAAAUGGCUGUGGCUGAGACAGAGGUGGGAAUAACAGAGCUGGUGGGAGCGCAGGUGUAAGGCAGUGCAGCAGCCCAUCCCCACCCAAGGGCAUGGGAAGUGUGGAGGUCCCUUGGCCGUGAGGAGCUGUGGGGUGGGAUUGGUGCUUUUGUCACCAGCUUGGAAACCACAGCCCAACCCAAGAGCUCCCAUGGCUCUGAGAUGUCCGUCCGUCCUUCCCACCCUGCUGCCAUCCCUCCCUGUUCCCUGGUGCAUCUCGUAUGAGGACGUUCUGCAACUCUGCAAACUUUCCACCAGCGACCUGCCAAGUGCAUGGGGAGGGAGAGGGGAAAGCACCACGAUAAUUGAAAAUAAAUGGUGCAUUAUAUGAAAUAAAUGUUCUGGUGCAGCC